GGGGAUAUAGCUCAGUGGUAGAGCACUUGCCUGGCAUGCAUGAGGCCCUGGGUUCCAUCCCCAGCACUA
rnacentral:tRNA from 1 species